rnacentral:rRNA from 1 species
UAAGGAAUAUUGGACAAUGGAGGCAACUCUGAUCCAGCCAUGCCGCGUGAAGGAAUAAGGCCCUAUGGGUUGUAAACUUCUUUUAGACGGGGCAAAACCCCUUUACGUGUAAAGGGUUGAUGGUACUGUCAGAAUAAGCAUCGGCUAACUUCGUGCCAGCAGCCGCGGUAAUACGAAGGAUGCAAGCGUUAUCCGGAAUUAUUGGGUUUAAAGGGUGCGUAGGCGGACUAAUAAGUCAGUGGUGAAAGCCUGCAGCUUAACUGCAGAAUUGCCAUUGAUACUGUUAGUUUUGAGUACAGUUGAGGUAGGCGGAAUGUGUCAUGUAGCGGUGAAAUGCUUAGAUAUGACACAGAACACCGAUUGCGAAGGCAGCUUGCUAAGCUGUAACUGACGCUGAGGCACGAAAGCGUGGGGAGCAAACA